rnacentral:rRNA from 1 species
UAUGUGAUCGUCUCUCGCAUAUCAAUAAGCGGAGGAAAAGAAACUAGCAAGGAUUCCCCUAGUAACGGCGAGUGAAGCGGGAAGAGCUCAAAUUUGAAAUCUUAAAGGGUUUCCCUUUACGAAUUGUAGUUUAAAGAAGUGUUUUCUGUUGAGGUUUUGGUAAAAGUUCUUUGGAAUAGGACAUCAUAGAGGGUGAGAAUCCCGUAUUUGACCUUUACUUUCAACUUUGUGAUACACUUUCAAAGAGUCGGAUUGUUUGGGAAUGCAGUCCAAAAUGGGUGGUAAAUUUCAUCUAAAGCUAAAUAUUGGCGAGAGACCGAUAGCGAACAAGUACCGUGAGGGAAAGAUGAAAAGAACUUUGAAAAGAGAGUUAAACAGUACGUGAAAUUGUCAAAAGGGAAGCGUUUGACACCAGUGUUGUUUUUCUGAAAAUCAAUUAAAGAACUGUUUAUGCUAAGUUGUUUAGACUUUAUCAGCUAUCUGUUUAGUUUUGAGCUUUUCUUUAAUGCACUUUUCAGUUAACAAGUCAACAUCAAUUUCUUUUGCUGUAAAAAAGCUUGAGGAAGGUGGCUUGAGAUUCGUCUUAAGUGUUUAUAGCCUCUUGCCUAUGCAGUCGGAGAGAUUGAGGUCUGCAGCGUAGAUCCUUCGGGGCUAAAUGCAUUUGUGCUAAGUUAUAACAUUUUAUAGACAACUUGUUGACUAUGAUUUGUCUUGUAGCUUACUCGCUUAUGUUAUUUUACCUACGCUUAGGAUGUGAAGUCAUCGUAUCGCGC